GUGCUUGCUUCGGCAGCACAUGUACUAAAAUGGGAAUGAUACAGAGAAGAUUAGCAUGGCCCCUGCACAAGGAUAACAUGCAGAUUCAUGAAGCCUUCCAUAUUAAG
rnacentral:snRNA from 1 species